CUCAUCAGCAAUAUGCGUAUGUGAAACUUGUGACACAUUACUUGCUCUUAUGUAUGCUGCCUUAUUCAAAUCAUGUUAUUAAUUUCUUUUUUGUCUUUCCAGAUGACAACUGUCACUCUCUUUACAUUAGGGAACCUAGAACGUAGAAAGAAUGCUGACAAAUGUAUUGACGCACAAAUGGAUGAUCACACCAUCAAAGAAGUUUAUACAAGUAUCGCCAACCAUUUCCCAUCACUGUUUUAAGGGAUGUUUCUGCGUGCAACUUGUGCAAACAUCCUAACCAGGGAAUCCGGACAUCACAUUAUCAACCACCAAGUCAAAGAUUUACAGAGGCCAACUUUUUGACUAGAACUGUCCCGCCCUGGAAUGCUUUUACAACCCACCGAGUGUACCUCUGCAGAAGGCAGAGCAACACAAGCAUUACGAACGAUUCUCAGUUACAGGAACUGGGAAGAGUGUCUCGCCAAUCAAAGAAACUCCAAAUUCCAAACGAAGACUCCUAGAACUCAACCGAUACACAUGAUACUAAAAAACGCAUCGUGGUGAACUUGUGGAAGGAUGCUGCUGACAUCGAUGUCCCUGCUGGAGAUAACAAAUGUAUACUGCAAGCUGUUCAACAAUACUGUUUGUAUUAAAAGUACACAGUACACUGACCUUGAGGUAAGAAUUGCAUAUAAAUGACGCACACCAAUACAAACUAAUGCACAACAAUCAGUACACCUUCAACAUUUUGACAACAUGAUAUUUAGCACCAGGUUUCAUUGAUAAAAGUGGGUGACAUAAUGUCUACACUUUCCUAUCUUAUGGGCCUUGCUCUGUCUUUGUAUUACGUUUUUUUUUUUUGGGGGGGGGCAUUUUGGUAAUUUAGGGGAAGGAUUUUUAAAGCCCCAUUUUCUUCAUUACUUACAUUGCAGCUCAAGUGAGUGGUUGCACUUGCAGCACACCCAUUUCCCGAAUCCGCCAACGCUUACCUCAUCGCACAAAAAUAUUUAAUCGACACUGACGACAACUCAUCGGACAUAUGAACAUAAAUAAAUAUAUUUGGCUGCAAAUACUAAGAACACAAAACAACUCCCUCCACAAAAUACAACAUAAUUUUGUAUUUGUUACCUGCUGACUGUUUUUACCUUUCAAACAACAUUGAGUUUUCUUAUAGAUUCCUAAGUAUUUCCAUAUCAUAAAAAACCACAAUUGUUUGCUCAGCAGACAUGCAACUUUUACUUGGAUCAGCUGAUUUACUUUUUUUUUUACUUCCCAUGUAUGCCAUUGAAAAAUAGAAAAACACUGUACAA